UUAGAGUUUGAUCCUGGCUCAGGAUGAACGCCGGCGGUGUGCCUAAUACAUGCAAGUCGUACGCACUGGCCCAACUGAUUGAUGGUGCUUGCACCUGAUUGACGUUGGAUCACCAGUGAGUGGCGGACGGGUGAGUAACACGUAGAGUAACCUGCCCCGGAGCGGGGGAUAACAUUUGGAAACAGAUGCUAAUACCGCAUAACAACAAAAGCCACAUGGCUUUUGUUUGAAAGAUGGCUUUGGCUAUCACUCUGGGAUGGACCUGCGGUGCAUUAGCUAGUUGGUAAGGUAACGGCUUACCAAGGCGAUGAUGCAUAGCCGAGUUGAGAGACUGAUCGGCCACAAUGGAACUGAGACACGGUCCAUACUCCUACGGGAGGCAGCAGUAGGGAAUCUUCCACAAUGGGCGCAAGCCUGAUGGAGCAACACCGCGUGAGUGAAGAAGGGUUUCGGCUCGUAAAACUCUGUUGUUGGAGAAGAACGUGCGUGAGAGUAACUGUUCACGCAGUGACGGUAUCCAACCAGAAAGUCACGGCUAACUACGUGCCAGCAGCCGCGGUAAUACGUAGGUGGCAAGCGUUAUCCGGAUUUAUUGGGCGUAAAGCGAGCGCAGGCGGUUGCUUAGGUCUGAUGUGAAAGCCUUCGGCUUAACCGAAGAAGUGCAUCGGAAACCGGGCGACUUGAGUGCAGAAGAGGACAGUGGAACUCCAUGUGUAGCGGUGGAAUGCGUAGAUAUAUGGAAGAACACCAGUGGCGAAGGCGGCUGUCUGGUCUGCAACUGACGCUGAGGCUCGAAAGCAUGGGUAGCGAACAGGAUUAGAUACCCUGGUAGUCCAUGCCGUAAACGAUGAGUGCUAGGUGUUGGAGGGUUUCCGCCCUUCAGUGCCGGAGCUAACGCAUUAAGCACUCCGCCUGGGGAGUACGACCGCAAGGUUGAAACUCAAAGGAAUUGACGGGGGCCCGCACAAGCGGUGGAGCAUGUGGUUUAAUUCGAAGCUACGCGAAGAACCUUACCAGGUCUUGACAUCUUGCGCUAACCUUAGAGAUAAGGCGUUCCCUUCGGGGACGCAAUGACAGGUGGUGCAUGGUCGUCGUCAGCUCGUGCCGUGAGAUGUUGGGUUAAGUCCCGCAACGAGCGCAACCCUUGUUACUAGUUGCCAGCAUUAAGUUGGGCACUCUAGUGAGACUGCCGGUGACAAACCGGAGGAAGGUGGGGACGACGUCAGAUCAUCAUGCCCCUUAUGACCUGGGCUACACACGUGCUACAAUGGACGGUACAACGAGUCGCAAGCUCGCGAGAGUAAGCUAAUCUCUUAAAGCCGUUCUCAGUUCGGACUGUAGGCUGCAACUCGCCUACACGAAGUCGGAAUCGCUAGUAAUCGCGGAUCAGCAUGCCGCGGUGAAUACGUUUCCGGGCCUUGCACUCACCGCCCGUCA
rnacentral:rRNA from 1 species